rnacentral:lncRNA from 1 species
UUAAGAAUUAGGUAAUACAAUCCUAAGCAAUAUUCACUCCGAUAAACGGGCCUAACAAGGUAGGUCCACUAGAAUAAUAUAAAUAGCACGCAUCCCAAAGAGUAAGGUAUGUCAUUUAUUAUUGUUCACCUACCUGAGAGCUAACCACCCGCUUUAUUGACUUGAGCGUCGGAGUGCCUUCGCAGGUACCCCACCAUUCGGUGUUCACCCGAGACCGAGUGCCAAAGGAGAAGCAAGAGGACGAGAGGACUCCCAGCUCAUCGCCUAGUAACCUGACCGAUCGAAGGAAGGAGAAGAAAACUUCAAUAGUUCUCUAGGUCUCAUUUCCCUAGUAGGAACAAAACCCUUAUAAACAUAAAUAAUUUUUUGAAGUUAUGGAAAAUUGCUUAAAUCACUCAUAUUAAGUUUAUAUUUUUUUGAAAAAUAAUGUGGUAGAUACCAUCAUUAUUAUGUUGAAAAUACAAGUGACACGAAAAAAAGAAUAAAAGACGGAAACCAUUGGCAUUUAAUGGUGAUUAAUUCGUAUUGGAUUAAGACAUAAAGUCCUAAAAAAACAAAUAGACAUGUUUCCACUUCUCAUAAUUAAAAUUUGUAAGAUUUUGGUGUGAUGAUAUGGUGAAUUAACGUAGGAAUAAUGGUUAUUAAUACGACAAGACCAACCAAGAAAGAUAUUGUUGAAAAAUGUGAGAUAAUAGUGGGAUUGUCACAAACACAAUACAAAAAUAAUAGUUGAGUUGUAGAAGUGUAGAAGGAGAUGCACGAGUUGUUAAUAAUUGAGACAUUAUUAGUACCUAAAAGUUCAUCUUAUAUUUUAAAAGAACCAACAAUAUUUUUUUCUUCUCCUUUUUCCACCCACCAUGCUCUAUCUCAAGCAUUAGUUGGAGAACUUCACUUGGUGCAUGCUUACAUACAACUAAUUUAACUUUUUUCAUCAAGAUAUUAUUACUUUAUUUUACUUUUCUUUUAAACUUCCUAAAAGUUUACAUGAAAAUAAAUAAAUAAAAUAAUCAAUUUUAUCAAGAUUUUUUAUUUUGAGAAAUAACGUAAGGAUGAAAGUUAUUCGACACCAGUGAGGUGAGGUUUGCACCCACUUAUAUAUUGUGAAAGACUCUAAUCUCUAGUCGUUGUGGAAUUUUCAACACAGUUUAAAUAUUUCAUAUAAGAAAAUUAAGACACUAUUUGCAAUUCAAAAUCUGAAAAUAAUGAGUAUACAUGUCUUCUAAAUAAUCAGAUUAUAAAUAAAUGAUACUAAUGUUAUGUUGUAUUUGUAGAGAUUAAAAACGCAGAAAAAAAAUCUCAUUAAAACAUAUUUCUCCUUAUUUGGUUUUAAAAUUUGAAAUAAAAAAAUUAAAAGAAAAAAAAGUAAACCAUAAUUUUCUAUACAAAAUAAAGAAUUUACAUUAAAAUUAUGUUUUACAUAUUUUAUUAAUAUUUUGAAAAAUCGAUUGUACUUAUGUGUAAAUUUACGUAUAUUUAUAUUACAUUGUUUAUUUGGAUUUAUGUUACAGAUCGUAUUUACGUAUACUUAUAUUAUAUUGUUUAUUUAUAUUUAUGGUAUAUAGUUAUUAUAUAUCUUUUAUAAUUAUACCAUAAAUAAUAAAAUAUUAAGUUUUAAUUAUUAUAAUAAUAAAUAAAGAAAAUCAAAUUUAUGGAUAAUAAAUAAAUUUAUUUUACUUUUUACUUAUUUUCAUCUAAUUCAAACGAUUUCAUAUUUUUUUCACUUUCUAUCUCCAAGCCAAAAUAAAAAUUAAAUGAGUCCUAUUUCGCAUUUUGAUGAUAAUAUAGUUGGUGACUUUAACUAANNNNNNNNNNNNNNNNNNNNNNNNNNNNNNNNNNNNNNNNNNNNNNNNNNNNNNNNNNNNNNNNNNNNNNNNNNNNNNNNNNNNNNNNNNNNNNNNNNNNUAAUAAUAUAUAUAUAUAUAUAUAUAUAUAUAUAUAUAUAUAAUAUAAUAUAAUAUAAAAUUCUUUUCUCUAAUGUAAAAACACAUAAUUUUAUACUAAUUUUACGUGAAAACUUUUUGUAAAAUAUUAUCUAAUCAUCAACAUAUAUUACCAAUAUUAUUAUUUUUAAUGUUGGAGAUCUCACAUCGACUUGAGAUUAGAACCUUUCAUUGUAUAUAAGUGGGUGCAAACCUCAAUUUCAUGAGCCGGUUUUAUGGGAUUGAGUUAAACUUAAAGUUUCAAUCCUAGCGAGUGUUUGUGUUGUGCCUAUCGUGCUAUCCGCUAUCGGAUCACCCAGAAUAUAUAUAGUCUCACGCACGAGUUGACAGUCUUGACAUGAGGGGGUGUGUUAUUCGAUCCCACAUCGACCCAGUAGAGAUAGAAUUCUACAAACCUAAUAUGAAAUUAGAUUGAUAUACUUAUGGUAGAUGUUAGAAUUAUACAUUAUUCACAUGUCAGAUUCCUCAAAAUUAGUAAAAAAAAUAGUUUGAUAAAUAAAGUGGAGAGAUCUUUAUUUUUGUAAUUUUUUAAAAAUUAUAUUAAAUUUUUUUUUUUAACUGGUGUCAUGGUUGGUGAAAAUACUUUUUUUUCUUGUAAAUUAGGCCAAAAUACUUAACUAAUAAUUUGUCUCUUUUGAAAAAAUAAAGAGUUUUUAUUCUAUGUUCUUACUGCUUACUGUUGUUUCUUCUGUCAUCUAUCCACUUUCUGUUCACGUCUAGCCCACAUCUCACCCACUCACAAAUGCCACAGACUGGGUUUGGGUUUGACUUCUUCUUCCUGCACCUCUACGUUUUUCUUCUUACACCCCCACAACUAAUAAAAUCUCAAAUUUGACCUUGAUCUUUUAUUUGAAAAAUGACACUGUGGUGGAGUUUAAAUAGACAACAUUACCUCUAUGAUUUAAAUAGACAACGGUUCUUUUUACAACACUAUCUAUCUAUACAUUCAUUUUAAUUUUAAAAGUGUCAUCGUGUUUUGAUAUAUAUGUUUCAGCACGUGUUUUGAUACACAUGUUUCAGCACACUUCCAGAUUGAUGAAUCCGUAGCACACUCCACCAUGGUGUCCUUUUCCAAAUAAAAGGUGAAGGCCAUUUUUGGAAUUUUUAAAAUUGUGAGGGUGCAGGAAGAAAAACGUAGGGGUGCAGGAAGAAGAAGCCCUCACAAAUACUCGCGGACUGGGUUUUACAGUUUCUACCACUUUGUUGGGCUACUCCUUAAGGCCCAGCCCAUGAUUAGAGUAACAAAAAAAUUUCCAGUUUUAAACUACAAAAGAUGGUUGCAAUAAAAAAAGAGAGAAAGGGCACGGAAAAGAGGAUAUAACAAAGUCACUCUUCCGAUGAAACUAAUCGGCGACGGAGCUGGUGGCCGGAAGCUCAUUGUCAGAGUAAAA